GUGGGUGGGUGGGAGAUAGUAUUCUGAUAUUCCAUCUGAGAAGAUUUCCCAGAGGAGGUAACUAUAGGUUAGGAUUCCAGUGGAUGUGAAAGAUAAUAGGAAUAGAAAAAUAUAGGGAAGAAGUUAUACAUUGAUGAGAAAGAGGAAGAAUCAUGCCAAGGCCGGCUAAGAGUAGGGAGAUAAAGCAUAAUUGUCUUGCUGACACCAAAUCAAAGUAAUCACCACUCACUGAAGGCAUACUGUGUGCAAGGCACAUAAGAUUGUGCAAGGUACAUAAGAAUCACUACUCACUGAGGGGUUAGCAGUGGGCAAGACUAUGUGAGGGAGUUGCGGUCAGACAGUGGAGACAGGAACUGUUCUCAUAUCUACAUGAAGAAGGAUGAAGGAAUGCUCUAUGGACAGAGCUGCUAAGUUACUCUUCUGGGACUGCUGUUUGUGGAUGAAUCACAGGGCCCUGACUGGGCUGCAACACUUCCAGGGCCUUCUAUUCCAACACCUCUUCCAGCGACCUGGUCAGGUGUGGCCAAUGGAAGCAAGAGCCCAGUGAAGUCGCCUAAGUCCGAGGGCAUGGUGUAACUCACACGGAGCACAACCCUACUUGGAAUGGACCAUUCGUGGCUUUAGAAUCUUGAUGGACACGAGCAACUGUCGGCACAAUCUAUUUAAGAGUAUUCUGAGCCCUCAGAGAGCAGCCUUCUGCCCACAGGUGACCAAAUCCUUAUCCUCAAUAACCCUUCUAACUGAGCAGCCAACGAGCUGCCCUCUACCUAUUCAGGACAGCCUAGGAAUGGCUUCAUGCAGUAGGUGGCCUUCUGUGAUUGGCUCCUUUUCCUUGGUUCUUAUGCGUUGCUGUGUCAAAGCACGCAUCCAUUCUCCUUCCUUCUCAUGGAUGAGUUACUUCAACGGUAGACAGACCACCUUCCAGGUAUGUGUUCAUCAGUACAUGGGCAUUUAGGUUGUUCCCAUGUCCAGAAAUUAUGAUUUUCUAUGUCUCUAGACAGUUUGAAUCAUCUAGAGUGAGCUCUGCAGCCAGGAACAGGCCUGACUUAUGUGUGGGAACCUCCAGUGUCCAUGGAAGCCAGGCUUUUGCACCUGGUCCAGGUGCUUCUCCCCUGGUUACAUUGCUGAGGAUGGCCAUUGACCCAGCAGCUCUCUAUUUGUCCCCUUGCUGUCCUCAGACCCCUCUCCUGCAGCUUCAGAGUCUGAGUGGAGAAACAGGAAUACUUCCCCAAGAUUGGCCCCAUGUAAUCCUCUAUGUGUGCUACUGGUAAAUGGAAACCUUCGGGCCAAGGGAAAGUCAAGUUCUUGAGGGUGUGUCUGCUUCAGAGUCCAGGUCUCCUUCCCAUGUCCCACCUCACUUCUCUCAGUCUACUCUUUCUUCUGCUGACACCAGAAACUGCCCUACCUGCAUCAAUCCUAACAUACCAGUGGGACCAGCAGGAUGCAUACAAGAAGUCCAAAUAGUGCCAGGUUGCAUUUGUUGAAUGAGUGGAUGAGGGAUGAUUCCAUACUCUGGAAAUAAACUGUGGAGAAGGCAAAGUUUCACAUAGCCCAGGCUGACCUGGAAUUUUCACAAUGUGACCGAGAAUAACCUUGAGCUUUUGAUCCUCCUGUUUCUAAUCCCAAGUGCUGGGAUCACAGGUGUGUGCGGAGACACUUGAUUUACUUGGUGCUGGGAAUAAAACCCAAGGCUUCUUGCACACUAUUCUACCGACUUCGCCAACAUGCUUUUCACCUCCUGAGCAAGUAUAAUAAAACUCAUUUUAAUUUCUCUCUAUUGUUUACCUACUGUGUGUGUUUGUGUGUGUGCACCUGCUCAGAGGUGUGGAGGUCUGAG
rnacentral:lncRNA from 1 species